ACCCCACUCGCUUCCAUCUCCGCGGUCUCCCCGGUCUCCCCUCCCACCCCCUACCCCUCCUCCGCCAGCCGCGUCCUCCCGGGCUCGGUGAGGAACUGUUCCUGGAGGAGCCGCGGGACGCCGAAACCAGCCAAUGGGAAGAGGCGAGACGCGGAGAUUGGCACGGUGGAUGGGAAGGCCAAAGCGCAGCUUUUGCAAGGCUCCCUGCCCUGAAGGGGAAAGGCCCCCAGGCGGAGGGCAGUACCUGGGACCCUGUCUAAGGGUAUUAGAUGACCUGCAGGUAAAACUGACCUUUCCUAAUGCUUCUGAGCCCUUCCAGAGCACAGCUCUCCCUAGUAAUCUUUCCUUAGGUGCAGGAUUCAGAGAGGGAGCUUUAUUAGCAAGGCGUGGCAUGAAGGGGCAUGGGAAUUCAUGGAAUUCUGUUCCUUGUCUAUUUGGACUUGACUUGAUGUCCUGUUUGCAUGAGUAUUAUUUUGCUUUCUUUUAAUUUUUUUUUUUUUUUUAAACCGCAGACUUCAUUUUUUAAAACCUCUUCCAAAAGAACUGGUAGAGGGGAGAGGGGUCUCUUCCAUUUUGCUAGGGGCCAAGGAUGUUUCUACCUAUUGUUGUGAAAACAUACAGUUGUGAUGAGUUAAUGCCAAAUUGUACCCUAAUGCCUUAGGAAGCCCUUGCUGCCCUCCCCAACUGCCCUCAUCCAUCUCUCUCUCUCUUUCUCUGUUUUUUUGUUUUUUAGCCAAGAAAUUACUCAGUUUUUCUGUCCAAAGCAAAGAUAAGUUGAAGAAUAACAACACCUGUCUCUGUUAUUUGGUAUCGUUUGAGGCUAACACACACACACACACACACACACACACACACACUCACACUCACAGAAAAUACCUAGGGAUUUAGGAGACAUGGGUUCAGUUCCUGUUAGUCCCCAGUGUGUCUUCUGAAUCUUUAUUAAAUAUUUUGGCGUAUGAGUUAUGUUUUCCUCAAAUAUAAAAUAAUUUGUGACACCAAAAACCGUCAAGAAAUAUAAACAAAAUCCAUGCACAGAAUCCUUCCACCCUCAGAAACCCCACUGUGAACAUUUUGAUGCAUUUCCCUAGACUUUAGUUUUCUCUGUCGUUGUGCGUCCAUAAUUACUAAAUGUGGUCUGGUGACACCAGCUUUUCCACUUGCCUUUAUUUCAUGAUCAUUUACUUACAGAUCAGUAAACAUUUAUCAAAAG
rnacentral:lncRNA from 1 species